AAGGCUUUAGCUUAAUUAAAGUGUCUGAGUUGCAUUCAGGAGAUGUGGGAUAGAGUCCCGCAAGUCUUA
rnacentral:tRNA from 1 species